rnacentral:rRNA from 1 species
UACGAAGGGGGCUAGCGUUGCUCGGAAUCACUGGGCGUAAAGCGCACGUAGGCGGGUCGUUAAGUCGGGGGUGAAAUCCUGGAGCUCAACUCCAGAACUGCCUUCGAUACUGGCGAUCUUGAGUCUGGGAGAGGUGAGUGGAACUCCGAGUGUAGAGGUGAAAUUCGUAGAUAUUCGGAGGAACACCAGUGGCGAAGGCGGCUCACUGGUCCAUUACUGACGCUGAGGUGCGAAAGCGUGGGGAGCAAACGGG